GACGAACGCGGCGGCGUGCCUAAUACAUGCAAGUAGAACGCUGAAGAGAGGAGCUUGCUCUUCUUGGAUGAGUUGCGAACGGGUGAGUAACGCGUAGGUAACCUGCCUGGUAGCGGGGGAUAACUAUUGGAAACGAUAGCUAAUACCGCAUAAAAUUGAUUAUUGCAUGAUAAUUAAUUGAAAGAUGCAAUUGCAUCACUACCAGAUGGACCUGCGUUGUAUUAGCUAGUUGGUGAGGUAACGGCUCACCAAGGCGACGAUACAUAGCCGACCUGAGAGGGUGAUCGGCCACACUGGGACUGAGACACGGCCCAGACUCCUACGGGAGGCAGCAGUAGGGAAUCUUCGGCAAUGGGGGGAACCCUGACCGAGCAACGCCGCGUGAGUGAAGAAGGUUUUCGGAUCGUAAAGCUCUGUUGUAAGAGAAGAACGGGUGUGAGAGUGGAAAAGUUCACACUG
rnacentral:rRNA from 1 species